UAGAUUAAGGCCCGCUGGUUUAGGCGAUUAGUUGUUAACUAGUGUUUUGCAGGAUCGAGGCCUGCUGGUCUGG
rnacentral:tRNA from 1 species